UACAGAGGGUGCGAGCGUUAAUCGGAAUUACUGGGCGUAAAGGGCGCGUAGGUGGUGAGAUGAGUGUGAUGUGAAAGCCCCGGGCUUAACCUGGGAAGUGCAUCGCAAACGAUCUUGCUGGAGUACAGGAGAGGGUAGCGGAAUUUCCGGUGUAGCGGUGAAAUGCGUAGAUAUCGGGAGGAACACCUGUGGCGAAAGCGGCUCACUGGACCACAACUGACGCUGAGGCGCGAAAGCUAGGGGAGCAAACAGG
rnacentral:rRNA from 1 species